UAAGGAAUAUUGCUCAAUGGGAGAAAUCCUGAAGCAGCAACGCCGCGUGGAGGAUGAAGGGUCUAUGACUUGUAAACUCCUGUAAAGAAGGAAAAAAUUCCCAUUAGAUGGGAGAUGAUGGUACUUCUGGAGUAAGCCCCGGCUAACUACGUGCCAGCAGCCGCGGCAAUACGUAGGGGGCAAGCGUUGUCCGGCUUUACUGGGCGUAAAGGGUGAGUAGGCGGUUGUAUAAGUCAGAUGUAAAAGGCACAGGCUUAACUUGUAUAAGCAUUGGAAACUGUACAACUUGAGUGUAGGAGAGGUAAGUGGGAUACCUAGUGUAGCGGUGAAAUGCGUAGAUAUUAGGAGGAACACCAGUGGCGAAGGCGACUUACUGAACUGUAACUGACGCUGAGUCACGAAAGCGUGGGUAGCAAA
rnacentral:rRNA from 1 species